rnacentral:tRNA from 1 species
ACUUAAGUCGCACGCAGAGGAAGCGUGCUGGGCCCAUAACCCAGAGGUCGAUGGAUCGAAACCAUCCUCUGGUA